AUACGGAGGGUCCAAGCGUUAUCCGGAUUUAUUGGGUUUAAAGGGUGCGCAGGCGGAAUGAUAAGUUAGUGGUGAAAUCCCGAGGCUCAACUUCGGAACUGCCAUUAAUACUGUCAUUCUUGAAUUCGCUUGAAGUGGGCGGAAUGUAGCAUGUAGCGGUGAAAUGCAUAGAGAUGCUACAGAACACCGAUCGAGAAGGCAGCUCACUAAGCCGAAAUUGACGCUCAGGCACGAAAGCGUGGGGAGCGAACAGGAUUAGAAACCCCAGUAGUCC
rnacentral:rRNA from 1 species